UGCAGCCCUUAUCAGAGCUGCAGCUGCUGUGGUCAAAAGGAAGCCCUAACAGUUUUCCCCAACUCUCCUGGUUCAUAUUGACGAGAACACAUCUGUAAGAUCUUGGGAAAAAACAGUU